GACGAACGCUGGCGGCGUGCUUAACACAUGCAAGUCGAACGGAAAGGCCCCUUUGGGGGUCCUCGAGUGGCGAACGGGUGAGUAACACGUGAGUAACCUGCCCUUGACUUCGGGAUAACUUCAGGAAACUGGGGCUAAUACCGGAUAGGAAUCCUUGCUGCAUGGUGGGGGUUGGAAAGCUUCUGCGGUUUUGGAUGGACUCGCGGCUUAUCAGCUUGUUGGUGGGGUAGUGGCUUACCAAGGCUUUGACGGGUAGCCGGCCUGAGAGGGCGACCGGCCACAUUGGGACUGAGAGACGGCCCAGACUCCUACGGGAGGCAGCAGUGGGGAAGAUUGCACAAUGGGCGGAAGCCUGAUGCAGCAACGCCGCGUGCGGGAUGACGGCCUUCGGGUUGUAAACCGCUUUCAGCAGGGGCGAAGCUUGUGGUGACGGUACCUGCAGAAGAAGCACCGGCUAACUACGUG
rnacentral:rRNA from 1 species